CACCCAUCCCUGUCCCCUAUAGUUGGCCACAUAAUUUAUGUUCUUCUGAUAUCGUUGGUUAUCACCUUCAACACUCCAUGACCAGAUAUAUGGUUGAUUAAUGCAUGAUGUACAUAGACCCCCAUUAGUUGCAUCAAUUAUGUGUACUUGCUGCUUUUGGCCUGAUUCAUCAACCUUUUUGGUGAGGAUGCUUAUUUGUGUCAGUAGAGUGGCAUUUUCAGCUAUGGAGUUAGUCGGGUCUAAAGCCAAUGAGUGAACCACAUGAGUUAUUGGACUGUUUCUUGGUGUCAAUCCUGAGUUUUGUGCCAUCUUGUCAAGUAGGUCUUGCUUUCUAUUAAUGUUUUGCUCGAAAAGGCUCCACCUGCUGAAGCAUCAACAUUGACUUUCAAGCUAUCUUCCAAAC
rnacentral:lncRNA from 1 species